rnacentral:rRNA from 1 species
CACGUAGGCACCAAGCGUUAUCCGGAUUUAUUGGGCGUAAAGAGCUCGUAGGCGGUUUGGUAAGUCGGGUGUGAAAACUCUGGGCUCAACCCAGAGACGCCACUCGAUACUGCUAUGACUAGAGUACGGUAGGGGAGCGGGGAAUUCCUGGUGUAGCGGUGAAAUGCGCAGAUAUCAGGAGGAACACCAGCGGCGAAGGCGCCGCUCUGGGCCGUAACUGACGCUGAGGAGCGAAAGCGUGGGGAGCGAAUGGG